AAUGUUUUAAGUUAAUUAAACUAAUGGCCUUCAAAGCCAUUUAUGGACUCACUGUCCAAACAUUA
rnacentral:tRNA from 1 species